AAGGAUCAUUACCGAGUUAGGGUACUCUUCGUGCCCGACCUCCAACCCUUUGUCUACCUGACCAGAUGUUGCUUCGGCAGGCCCGCCGCCCCGCGAGGGGUAGCCGCCGGGGGUCCUUACCGGCCCCGGGUCCGUGCCUGUCGAUGGCCCUUCUAAAACUCUUGCUUAAACGUGUCGUCUGAGUAAAACAAACAAAAUAAAAACAAAACUUUCAACAACGGAUCUCUUGGUUCUG
rnacentral:misc_RNA from 1 species